UCUGAGCGUGGUCACCAGAGGGUGUUGAGUGUGCGUGUUGAGAUAGAGGUGGAAGUCCAAAAGAAGAAAAAGGCUUGGACGUCAGAAGGCAGGAGCGAGGUCUUGGUCCAGGGAGGCAAGAGGGAAUCCAAAGUGGGUCCAGGUAGACGAAGAGGAAGCUGGAGGACGACACAACACGAAAGACCGUCAACUCGACAGGAAGGGAACACAGGGAGCAAGAAGGCUGGAGAUGUGUUGGCUUACUGUACUGAGGCACACCCGCAGCGGAGAGGGAACACCUGUUGAUGUGCUCCGCCAUGCACUCAGUCCGCACAGCAGGAGGAGAAGCAGGAACGUGACCCAUAACACAUUGUGUUUGACUGUGGGACCUUCAAGGUCAUCUGGUUGUCAGAUCUGAGGCAACGACCAAGCCUGGAGCUGAUAGGUUGGUCCAGGAGAUGUUUGAUGAGCCAGUGAAGGGAGGAGAGGAUGGGAGAAAUGUGUUCCCUCAUUUUUGUGCCUGUCACCAGCAUUUUGUACCAACUGCAUGCUAUAUAUGGUCUUGUCAGUGACCCCAGCAUAGAGGGCAUUCCAUUAGUCCAGUCUGCAGAAGAUGAGCAUGAACACGACCCUCUAAGUCACUGGGGGAGAGGACAUACUUGAUCUUGGCUAUUGUGCACAGUUGGGGGGUUGGAGUUCCCGAACAGAAGAAUUUCACUCUGUCAUUGAGCUGCAGGAAAUUUUGACAUCCACUCUUUUAUGUCCUGCAAGCAGUCCUUCAAAUG